rnacentral:rRNA from 1 species
AUGAACGCUGGCGGCGUGCCUAAUACAUGCCAGUCGAGCGAACAGACGAGGAGCUUGCUCCUCUGACGUUAGCGGCGGACGGGUGAGUAACACGUGGAUAACCUACCUAUAAGACUGGGAUAACUUCGGGAAACCGGGGCUAAUACCGGAUAAUAUAUUGAACCGCAUGGUUCAAUAGUGAAAGACGGUUUUGCUGUCACUUAUAGAUGGAUCCGCGCCGCAUUAGCUAGUUGGUAAGGUAACGGCUUACCAAGGCAACGAUGCGUAGCCGACCUGAGAGGGUGAUCGGCCACACUGGAACUGAGACACGGUCCAGACUCCUACGGGAGGCAGCAGUAGGGAAUCUUCCGCAAUGGGCGAAAGCCUGACGGAGCAACGCCGCGUGAGUGAUGAAGGUCUUCGGAUCGUAAAACUCUGUUAUUAGGGAAGAACAAAUGUGUAAGUAACUAUGCACGUCUUGACGGUACCUAAUCAGAAAGCCACGGCUAACUACGUG